rnacentral:rRNA from 1 species
UACGGAGGGCGCAAGCGUUGUCCGGAAUUAUUGGGCGUAAAGAGCUCGUAGGCGGUUUGUCGCGUCUGCUGUGAAAACCUCAGGCUCAACCUGGGGCUUGCAGUGGGUACGGGCAGACUAGAGUGCGGUAGGGGUGACUGGAAUUCCUGGUGUAGCGGUGGAAUGCGCAGAUAUCAGGAGGAACACCGAUGGCGAAGGCAGGUCACUGGGCCGCAACUGACGCUGAGGAGCGAAAGCAUGGGGAGCGAACAGG